CCUAACGGGUGUACUGUUGUUGCGUCCUGCCGUUUCGGAGGGAAUCCUUUUGGUAUUAAGUUACUAGAAGGGGGAUCUCCGUCGUUUACUGUGAAAAAAUUAGAGUGUUCAAAGCAGGCCAUCGCUGUGAAUACAUUAGCAUGGAAUAAUAAGAUAGGACUAUAGUGCUAUUUUGUUGGUUUGCGUACUAUGGUAAUGAUUAAUAGGGAUAGUUGGGGGUAUUCAUAUUCAAUUGUCAGAGGUGAAAUUCUUGGAUUUAUGGAAGAUGAACUACUGCGAAAGCAUUUACCAAGGAUGUUUUCAUUAAUCAAGAACGAAAGUUAGGGGAUCGAAGAUGAUUAGAUACCAUCGUAGUCUUAACCAUAAACUAUGCCGACUCGGGAUUGGCCGACGUUGAUUUAAUGACUCGGUCAGCACCGUAUGAGAAAUCAAAGUCUUUGGGUUCCGGGGGGAGUAUGGUCGCAAGGCUGAAACUUAAAGGAAUUGCCGGAAGGGCACCACCAGGAGU
rnacentral:rRNA from 1 species